UAGGCAACAGCUUAGGCUCCUGUGGAAAAUCUUGAGAUAGGCCCUAUAAGAAACAGGGAGGACCUGGGAGAAACUGCCAGAGUCCCUGGGGAAGAGAGGUAGUGGGCCAAAAAGGGCAGAAGCACAGUUUUUCUUUUGUUUGGUUGUUUAAAAUGAACUUUUGUCAUCCUGGAAGGGGACUGAAUUUUAAAUGUGACCUAGCUACAGAGAAAAGUCUCCCAGAAAAGGACAAUAGCAGAACCAGAUCUGCCAACAAAAUGGGAUGCUAGAGCAGAAGAAUCCCUGCAAAGCCACUCUCUGAUGCCAGGGGGUGCUAUGGUGGCAAAAGCAAACAGAUACUUCCAGCUUGAAUUACUUUUAUUUUAGAUUAAGACAACAAAACGAGAACAAAAGUGAAGUCUGCAUCAGAGAGCACACUGUCUCUUUCAUCUGAAGUUCUGGGCAUGCUGUAUCCAAGAUUAAUUUAGCCUCAUUAUUCCUUUCUGAGGCUGGGAAGAAGCAGGGAUAGUGUGUGCCUGUGGGAAGGGGGCAUGAAGAGAUCUGGUGAUGACCACUUCAGUGUGACAUUGGCAAUACAAGCAGUUGCCUGCUGCCCUCGAUGUGUAUUGUGGCAGAAGAAUGAUACAAGAAAGACAAAAUAAAUUACAGAAACAGAAAAUAAGGUUAGCAAGUGAUGCAAGCCUGUAAGAUGGAGGAGAAGACCUGAGUCAGAAACACAAGUUGAGGGCAAACAUUUGCCAAGGUUUUCUGCAGGGCAACUGAACAUACAAGUGCGGAGAGGUGGAGGUAGGAAAGAGACAGAAACCAGACCCUCUGGAUCUUCGUCUUCUCAGUGCUGCUACUGCUGACGCUGUGGUGAAGUCCUUCUGACACCACAUAUCUGGGAAUGAAGAGCUUCUCAGAGCUGAUUGGAAAUGGCAUUGCUGCACUGAAACUUAACUGGAGGAAAUACAUCUCCCGAAGAAGAAAAUAUAAUGCACUUUAAGGAUCUGACUUCUGGUGAAAAAUUCAAGCCUAGAGAAAACUUGUCCGCUUUAUUAAGAAGAAUGGGUUGGACAAUCUUCUUCAGUUCCAAAGGAUAUCUGAACGCCAUGCUGAGCUUAAUCUCUGCAGCAUGCUCUGUGCUUCUCUUCUCCUCCUGAUGCACUGCAUGGUUAGCCUGAGGAGAAGGAUAAAGAAACUGGCCUCCAAGAUGGUAAUCACUAGUGGAAAUGAAGAAGAUAAAGGCAAUCAAGAAAAGGAGAGCAAAGAAGAAACCAUCCUGGCAAUGCUUGGGAUUAUUGGAACAAUUUUGAACCUCAUUGUGAUCAUUUUUGUGUACAUUUACACAACAUUGUGAGCCAGAAGGCACACGAUGAGAACCAAUGAAACGGCUGCUAAAGGUGACAACAAACAUUGUAGGGUAUUGACAUGUUGCUUAAUCAGAAUUUAUUCUGUACUAUAUUACCACAUCAUAAAAGCACUGCCUCCAGGCAGUGAAAGCUGAAGCACAAUUAAUUUAACCAGACUUUUUCACGCAGUAACAAGCUAAACUCUUCUGUCUUGCUCCUUUCCCUUUUUGUGGGGGUUUGGUUUUGGGGGAAAUGACUGCAAUGAUGUAAGUGGCAGCUUUGAAGAACUCAAUCUGGGAUACAAACACAAUAGAAAGAGACUGUACACUAUUUAGAAUUACUAAUGUAUACCAUAUACUCUGAAAGAUAGCUAGAUAACACAGAUUUUGUGUCCAUUAGGUCAAAUAAUUUUUUUUUCUCCUUGACUUUUCAGUUUUAUUUACAUUGAAACUGACAGGCUUUUUAUUUAGAAUGAACAUAUGGUGCAAUCAUGGAAAAACAAUUCCAUCGAGCAAGAUCUGCCUAAAAACAAUAAAAUGUUGGGGGAAAUAAGUGACAUGAUUAUUUUUUCUUUUUCAUUUGCUUGACAUUUGUGUCUGUUCAUACCAAUGUUUAUAAAUAUAUAUUUUUAAUAAAUGUGCUAUAUUUUUAGCAUGAACCAAAUAUUUGGAGACAAUCUGGUAUUCAUGCAGCCUGUUUUGUUUGAUGAA